GUUUUCUAAUCGACAAUCCACGUUAAUUUUCACUUCAAUUAAAAAUUUAUAUACCGCCAUCUAAAAAACUAAUUCAAUGAUAAUAUUUUUAAUAAAAACUAAAAAGUUAGGUCAAGGUGUAAUCCACAUUGAAGUAAAUAAUGGGUUACAUUAAAAUUAAUUUAAGGAUUAUUAUAUAAAAACACUUUUUGAAAAAGGAUUUAAAAGUAAUAAUAAAAUAAUACUUUAUUAUGAUCUAGAUAAUAAAUGUGCACACAUCGCCCGUC
rnacentral:rRNA from 1 species